AGACAGAGGGUGCGAGCGUUGUUCGGAAUCAUUGGGCGUAAAGCGCACGUAGGCGGUAUUACAAGUCGAAUGUGAAAGCCCGGGGCUCAACCCCGGAAGGGCAUUCGAAACUGUAAUACUUGAGUCCCGGAGAGGGAAGUGGAAUUUCCGGUGUAGCGGUGAAAUGCGUAGAUAUCGGAAGGAACACCAGUGGCGAAGGCAACUUCCUGGGCCAAUACUGACGCUGAGGUGCGAAAGCGUGGGGAGCAAACAGGAUUAGAAACCCCAGUAGUCC
rnacentral:rRNA from 1 species